CGCGGAAGUAAAGGACUGUGCUUGCGGACCUGGGGAACGGGACCCGCGCGAGACCGCAGCACUGGAAGGUCGGAGGCCCGAGGGACUUGCAGGAAACGCGAGGCGCUCGGGCGGCUGCGGCCCCCGGAAGGAGCCGUAGCGGACGGCGGGCCCGCGCCUCCGCCCCGAGGUCGGCUGGUGUUCUCGGGCCGCCGCGGGAGAGCUGGGCGACGGGCUGGGCCUGGCUGCGGAAUGCUCGCGGGCGGUUUAAAGGAAGCAGGGCUGAGAGUGUAAUUUCGGACACCGAGGCAGCCACCUUGAACUCUGACGUGACAAGCCUGAGGACAGCGAGCACGCUGGGACGGCACCGUGGAAAACGGAGCCGGUCCUGAUGAAAUGGCCGAGCCACCGCCCAGGUCCGGGACAUCCACCUGCAGACUUACUGCUACAAGCGCAUCGUUAUGCUCAGGCUGCCGUUUGGUGUCCUGUUCACUGCUUCCUGGCCAGGCAUCCCUCCGGGACAGGAUUGCUGAGCAGCCUGGCCUCAAGCUCACUGAAGGCAUCUUGAGACACAACUGCAGUCAUGUCAGAUAGCUAGGAAGCAUGUCCUGUCUCACAAAAGUAAAGGACAUCUGAGUAUGGUGCCUGUUUCCAAUACGAUAGGAUACACAGUGGUUUAAAUAACACAAAAAUAAAAGAAGCAAUUUUGUGCAGAUUCA